UCUUCAGCUCAUUCUUCUUACUUCUCACCAUUGCGAUCACCACCGCCAAGACCAUCGAAUCCAGGAAUCAGAUUGAAAGCAUAUUCAUGAAUACACUAGUGCUGGACUCCUGGUUUUGGAGGCAAAAUUUAUUGGUUGCCAUUUACAUUAGAGUUCCCAGAGAUCAUUUCUUGCCUCACUGAGGUUCGGCACCAAUCUUUCUUUUGGUUCUCAAUCAGUUCAACAUGAAUGCAUUUCUCAAGCUGUAUUUGGGUAUGGAUGUUAUCUGUCAAGAAAAAUCUGUGAUGGGAAAGAAAACGGGUGUCUUUGUUCUCUGGACAUUGCAGCAAAUUGAGCAUGUUGCUUCAAUUUUGUGUCAUAUGCAAGAAUUGGCUUACCAGAUCUGCCACGAGUUUGAGCGGCCCAGCACAUACCUGCCUGACAUUAAAGUUGCUGUGUUCUAUAGUGGUGUUAAUGACAAGACCCAUAAGCUUCAGUAAGUGCUACGGGUUAUUUGUUGGAGGCGGUGGUGGUGGUAAGUGGUGGUGGUGUGGUUAGUGAUGUAGAUUAUUGGGGUUUUUGGUGGUGACGCCUCUUUUGCUUAGUGUUCCGGGGGAACCGAACCCCUUGGAUCCGGAGAGCUUGUACUAAAUUUUGCAAGAUUUUGACUACUUCUGAUA